UGCGUAGGCGGUUUGUUAAGUCACUUGUAAAAAGAUCUCAGCCCAACUGAGUAGGGCGAGUGAAACUGGCAGACUUGAAUACGGUAGAGGUAAGUGGAAUUCCAUGUGUAGCGGUGGAAUGCGUAGAUAUAUGGAGGAACACCAAUGGCGAAGGCAACUUACUGGGCCGGAAUUGACGCUGAGGCACGAAAGCGUGGGGAGCAAACA
rnacentral:rRNA from 1 species